rnacentral:rRNA from 1 species
GAUGAACGCUGGCGGCGUGCUUAACACAUGCAAGUCGAGCGAGAAUUAAGAGUUGGAGACUUCGGUCAAAGACUUUUAAGGAAAGCGGCGGACGGGUGAGUAACGCGUGGGUAACCUGCCUUAUACAGGGGGAUAACAUAUUGAAAAGUAUGCUAAUACCGCAUAAGCGCACGGCAUCGCAUGAUGCAGUGUGAAAAACUCAGGUGGUAUAAGAUGGACCCGCGUCUGAUUAGCUAGUAGGUGAGGUAAUGGCUCACCUAGGCGACGAUCAGUAGCCGGCCUGAGAGGGCGAACGGCCACAUUGGGACUGAGACACGGCCCAAACUCCUACGGGAGGCUG